rnacentral:rRNA from 1 species
GGCCGGCCUCGUCGACGAGGGCCGCGAACGCGCGCGUUGCCUCGUCGGGCCGCAUCGGGUCGCCGUCCUCCUUGGCGAACACCAGGCCGUGAUCCUUGUACGCCUCGCCCCACUCCUCACGCUCCGCCUGCUGCCGAAGCUGAUGCGCGAGCAGCGCGCCGACCACGUCGUCUCCCAGCUCGAUCACGCGGCCCUUGCUGGUCUUCGUCUUCGGGUCCCCGAAGCUCACGCCCAGGUGCCCGGCCUCGCAGUACGGGCACGGCGCCGCGGCCUGCUUCCGCUUCUUCCGCCCGGACUCCUGCACCACCUGCCGACGCACCGUCAGCGUGCGCCCGACGAGGUCGACGUCGUCCCAGCGCAGGCCCAGCGCCUCACCGCGCCGCAGACCCGUGUACGCGAUCACCUCGAACAGGCCGCCGAGCCGGUUGCUGCCGAUCGCGUCGAGGAAGGCGCCCAGCUCCUCACCGGUCCACGGCUCGACCUCGGUUUCCGCGGCCUGCGGGAGCGUCGCCUUCCUGGCGACGUUGAACGCGAUCAGAUCCUUCUUGGCCGCCGUCUGCAACGCGCUCGACAGCGUCGCGUGAACCCGACGAACGGUCGUCUUCGACAGCUUCCCGUCGUUGAUCGCGGUCACCAUGCGGUCGACGUGCGAGGCCCGGAGGUCCCGCAGGCGUAUGUGCCCCAUGUGCGGCUUGAGGUAGUCGCGGAUGUGGUGCCGGUAGGACCGCAGCGUGGUGACGCGCCGGCCCUCGCGUUCCUUGAGUUCGAUCCACUGGUCAAGCCACACCGACAGCUUCAUGCCCUCGUCGUACGAGUAGGUGCCCUCGCCGACCUUGGCGAGCAGCUUGUUCAGCGCUUCUUCCGCGUCGUCUGACGUGCGGAACCCGCCCUUGCGGACCUGCUUCCGCUUCCCGUCCGCACCGCGGCCCACGUCGGCGACGUAGUACCACGUGCCGUGAUCCUUGCGGCAGUUCUUGCGGUUGCCCUUGGCGUCGUACUGAGCCGGGCACUUGCACCGCUUGUACGUCGAGCCCUUCACUCCUUGGCCCCCCAGUCGUCAUCGUUGAACGGCGUCUCCGAGCGCCGGCUCCCAGGGUUUGCCACCUGAUACUCAUCGAGCGUGAGCAACGUCUCGCGGCCCGGGAGGUGCUCUGGCAGCGGAGGCGGCGUCAUCCCGCGUAGCCGGAUCUCUUCGCGAGUGUUCAAAAGCGCUUCGCCUGCCCGCAAUGCUUCCCUGGACGCUGCCUCUGACAGAGCGAUGAGGGCCUUGCGCAGAUCCUUGUCGGCCUCAGGGUCCAGCUUCGCCGUGCGCUCCAACUGCCACUCAGACUCUCGGUGCAGCGAGGUGACUUUCCUCAGGUCAUCGUGAUGUUGGUCGAAGAGGGUGAUGCCAGACAGGUGGUCGGCCUCGCCCCAGGGGCCCUCCAAUUCGCUGCGCCACCAUCCGGCAGCGUCGUACGUGUCGUAGGCGAACCCGGGGAACAACUCCACCUGCUCCUCGUAGCCCACCGGGAAGACCAGCGAUACGGGAG